rnacentral:rRNA from 1 species
AUUGAACGCUGGCGGCAGGCCUAACACAUGCAAGUCGAACGAGUGGCGGACGUGUGAGUAAUGUCUGGGAAACUGCCUGAUGGAGGGGGAUAACUACUGGAAACGGUAGCUAAUACCGCAUACCAUCAGAUGUGCCCAGAUGGGAUUAGCUUGUUGGUGGGGUAACGGCUCACCAAGGCGACGAUCCCUAGCUGGUCUGAGAGGAUGACCAGCAAAGCUGGAAUUGAGACACGGUCAAGAAUCCUACGAGAGGCAGCAGUGGGGAAUAUUGCACAAUGGGCGCAAGCCUGAUGCAGCCAUGCCGCGUGUAUGAAGAAGGCCUUCGGGUUGUAAAGUACUUUCAGCGGGGAGGCGUUACCCGCAGAAGAAGCACCGGCUAACUCCGUGCCAGCAGCCGCGGUAAUUC